rnacentral:rRNA from 1 species
UACGGAGGGUGCAAACGUUGCUCGGAAUCAUUGGGCGUAAAGCGCACGUAGGCGGUCCAGCAAGCGGGGAGUGAAAGCCCUCGGCUUAACCCAGGAAGUGCUUUCCGAACUACUGGACUUGAAUACUGAAGAGGAUCGCGGAAUUCCCGGUGUAGAGGUGAAAUUCGUAGAUAUCGGGAGGAACACCAGUGGCGAAGGCGGCGAUCUGGGCAGAUAUUGACGCUGAGGUGCGAAAGCGUGGGGAGCAAACAGG